AAAUUGAAGAGUUUGAUCAUGGCUCAGAUUGAACGCUGGCGGCAGGCCUAACACAUGCAAGUCGAACGGUAGCACAGAGAGCUUGCUCUCGGGUGACGAGUGGCGGACGGGUGAGUAAUGUCUGGGAAACUGCCUGAUGGAGGGGGAUAACUACUGGAAACGGUGGCU
rnacentral:rRNA from 2 species